rnacentral:lncRNA from 1 species
AAAAAAUCAUCAGCUGUCUUCAAAACAAAACUGGAAACAAACAAAGAGCAUUGAUAGAAAUACAGUGGAGUUUAGAGUGUGAUAUUUGUCCUCCAAGUGUAGCAAAGUAAAAGUAAUGUUUCCCUAAAACACAGCCCUCUACAGUACUAUAGUAUAAAUACAGUUUAACAGAUACUCAAACAAACAUAUAUGUAAGUACAGUCAAGUAAAAUUACAUUGUUAUUGUCCACCACUGUGGUACAUAUUUUCGGUUGAGUUUUUUAAUCAAGCCGAGACAAAAGUUUAAACAAGGAUUUGGUUUUUAUCGGUAAGAUGCUCUGAAACUCUGAGACGGCAAAAGAAGCCAGAGUAGGAAAAGGUGAAUUUUAACAUCAGAUGUUGGCAUUAAUGGGACUCCUCUACAUGUAGCGACUACAUUCCUCCUCUUUCUGGUCCUGUCCUCUUUCUUUCUUUCUGUCUUGGCUGAAUUGAAUAUAAAGCUGCUAAUUAGCACCUAUCCAGCUGCAGACAUCACAGCGCUGAAGCUAAAUAACAGCAGAGGUUUAAAGAAACAGAGAUGGACAACUUGUGUGAAUGGAUGUCAGUAUCCAUCCUUUGUUUGUGGACUUGAUAAAACAAAGGGAGAUAAAAUGCAUAUUCUCUAAAAAUUUGAAUUUCAUUUAAUCAUUUUUUUUUUUUACAUCUGUGUUGCACAAAAUGUGGAACAAAAGGAGAUCAGUCAACACUUAGAUGUGCAUUUAAGGUCCGCAGUUCCUGUGUUUAACUAGAUAAAGAAAAUUGCAUGUACGUAUCAUCAUUGUACAGAAAGACUUUGGACGUUUAGCUGAUUUUUCCACUUUAAAACAGGGAGAAAAAUGACUCUCUGCAGCCACAGCAAGGACAUGAGAUCAAACGUGAUAAUGUAGCAAAGCUCAUUUUCCUCAAAGAUCCUAAUUGAUUGGUUGAUUAUGCUUUCUCUGUUCCUUCGUCUCGCUGGAUCUUCUUUAAUAGCUCCAUAAUGACGCUACUGAACUGGACGUGUAAGACGUAGCCAAUUAGAAUAGUAAUAGGCUCUAAUUAACUAAAAAAAAGGAUUUUCAAUAAAAAAGGAGGAGAUAGCGAAUUUGAUUACUCAUUUUCAUUAACUUUUUCUCUCCGCCCUCCCUCCCUCCUGUCAUCCUUGGAACUUUGCUCCCUUCAUUUUUAUGAAUAUUUUAUCUGGAGCGAAACAUCACAAUACAUGCUGUCCCUGGCAAAGGCCACAGACAUAACAGCGGAGGAGCCUUUCUUCUGCUCUCUUUCAAAGAGCCUUCCUUUGUUUCUGCAUAAUGAAGGAGGCGCUGAUGGCGGCAGAAUAAAUUUUAAUUAGAGUUUUUUGGAGGCGACUUGUAAGGAUGAUAGGUUGCUUUAAAUCAAAACUUGACAGUGUGAAGGCUUUUUAGGAAUAAAGCAAAGUUAGGAGCUGAAAUAUGUUUGCACUUUGUGUGUGAGUGUGUGACAGGCAGAGACAGAGUGUCGUGUUGUGCCAGCAGGUAUCUGUAACGGUGCAUCAAUAAUUUGCAACAGUUUUUACCAACCCCCCUCCUCCUCCUCCUCGCUGCCGUUUUCUUUCUCUCAGUCCCUCUCUGUCUUUCUCGCCUCGGGUCAAGUUAGCACCACUUAAGGACUACAACGCAGUGCCCGAUCACCAUAUGUCGUCUGUAUGAAUAUGUGUGCAUGUGUGUGUGUGUGCACGGAUACCUGUUUUGCUUGUUCCCUACCUGAUGCCUCCCGUCGCUCGCAGCCAAAGCAUGUCAGCCUCUGAGAGACAAAAACAAAAAGAGAGGGGACACCAGGUACACCAGCAUGAGUGUGAGUCUGAGUGUGUGUAUUUGUGCAUCCUGCGGGCUGGUUCGCCAUGAGACACGGCCAGAUGGUCACCCCAGGCAAAGCAGGUUGGGCCUGUUUACCUGCUUCACUCUGGGUCAUGUCAGCUUCGUUUUCAGCUUAGCCGCAACACGGAUCAAGCCUCCGUGCCAAAAACGCCGCGUUUAGCUCCCCACCUCCUCCUCCCAGCCUCCGCCUUCUCUUCUCGCUCUUUCCUCUUUGUUCUCUCCUUUUCUCCGGUGUCAUAAAGUGAUAAACUUUGUCCCUCCGCUCAGCCGUAAAGAAUAUUCAGGUGUUAAACUAAAAAUACUAAAACAAACAUCUUUUUUUAUUUUUUAUUUCAGAGACAAAAUCUGCUCUUAGAGUCUCUGUUGAACUUAACAGAGAUUUUACAUUAAAUGGGAUAUAAACUGCAAAGUUAUAGAAAGCUGUUUGUGUUUUAUUUCAUUUUUUGUUUUCAUCUAUUCUUUAAUAUAGUAAAAGAAAAAGAAAAAGUGACUUUGAGUAAAGCCACAUUCAGCAAACGUCUUCCAGCCAAAUAAGGUUAAUGCAUUUUCUGUUGUUCUCUCUGUAAAGUAAGUAAUAAGUAGUUUCAAAUUAAAGCUCCUGUGAGGAGUUUUAAUUGCUCAUAAAGUGGUCUGAAACAGUAAUUCCUUUUUAUGAGUGACAAAAGCAAAUUAUAAAAUGAGCAACGACUACUCACACAGGGACCACGCUUCUACGUCAUAUUUGUUUCAAACUUCCCAUGGCAACACUUGAUACAUCUUAAAAAUCAAACUUUUUUGUUAGUUUUACAUAUGCACAGCAAAAUCAGCAGAGAAUCAUGAGAUACCACUUAGGCCACAGGGGGCGCCAGAGAUGACACAGACUAAGAGUCCCUAACAGGAGCUUUAAAGCUUCUGUACAGAGUGAAGGAGCCAUAUUAGGAGCUAAGAAGGUGUGAGGUACAAAUCAUCCAGUCACUCUUAGGUUCGAUCUAAAUGUCAGGUGCUGCAAGACAAAUGAGCAAUAGGGAGACAAGAUAGAAUAGGCGUAGGAUCGGUCUUAGCAGAAAAUAGCUUAAAAGGUUAAUUAACAGGGUAACUAUUGGCAUAUAUGUAAAUUCACUCCAGUAUUUUAUCUGUGGAUGUAAUUAUUGGCAGAUAUUGGAAAGUGACACAUUAAAAUGACAGCUUAUGUUUGCCUGUGUGUGUAUGAUCCUAUGGAAGUGUUAUGAAGUGUUUUGAACAGACGGCAGAGACUUUACUGGAUGUUUAUAUGUGAAUAUGACUGAAUUUAUUGUAGUCUGUGUCGUCUUUCUUCGUUGAAAGGGCAAUUUUUCGUUUGAGGUUCUUAAAGAUGUUCCUCCUCUCCUCCAAAAGGCUUCUUCAGUUCUAAAGUGACUGGGGCCAAAGUUGGAAAUUUAUAGCCUCUGUUAGCAGGGUUGUUGACCUGGUUUAACCUGAAGGGCUGCCCUCAAAAGUGUUGUUACAAUUGUUGUUGAAAGGAAUCCAAAGCUGAAUUGUAAGUUGAGGAUAAGAAGUGCUUUAGUCCAUCGCCUCUGUUCAAGGAUGGUUUCUCCAGUUUGACAAAGAUGGCCUCCUCGACACCUCCUUUAAACCAGCAGUCUUCCCUGGCCAGUAUCCUCACAUUGCUGUCCUCAGAGAAAUGUCCUGUAUCCUUCAGAUGUUAGUGAACAGCUGAGUCCUGGCUAGAACAGUUGGCUCUCCUGUGCUGGGCCAUUACAUGAACGCUCAACCCAGCAGGUUACAGCACCCAGCUGUGAAUAUUUGAACUAAAGUCCAUGGACAAUACUGAUGUAUAGACGCAAUACAACAGGUGCAGCUAAUUACUAAUCAACAUGUCCAUGUAGCUCCGCAGCGGCUUCAAGUUUAGGCUUAGCCACCAGUUGGGAGAUUUUAACAGGUAAAUAAACACACCCAAAUUAAGACUCGGUGUCUCUGUAUUCACACCAGAAACAAAAGAGAAGAAGAUAAUACUGUGACUUCACUUUUUUUCUUUUUUUUUUUUUUCUGAGGGAUAUACUUUACCAGGAUGAAAAUUUUAGGUAUUAUUUACACUAUAAUUGGACCCCCCCCCCCCCCCCCACAGCAAGUGCAAAUAUCAACACAAGCUUAAAGUCCCUUACUGUAGCUUUAACUUUAGAUCUUUGUGCAAGAAAUUUUUUUUGUCAGUAGAAUUUAAAUCUGUAUAACUGGGUAGUGGCAAAAACAAGCGUGUUCUUUAUACAGAACUAUGAAUUCUUAAAAGAAUGCAGUUAUAUAAAGUACACACAUGAAUGUGAUCCUGAAUGCAACAAAACAACAUUAAACGCAAAUGACGUUGAGGUUUUGAGGGAAGCAAAUUGAAUUUGCCGCAAAUUUAAAAAAGAAAUGUGUAAUUAUAUGUUAAAAAUAUAGAAGGGUGCCUGUUUAUUAUGUAAGCCAAUAAUCAGAAUCAUCGAAUUAUUGUCAUUGUACAUUGUACGAAAUUAAGGUAGAAAUAAAAUACACCUAUAAAGGGAGAGCUCAGAGUUGUAGUGUUUGUGAGCGCCGCCAUCUUUGGAUAAGUUUCAUUACACUUUCCUUUAGUGAAAUCAAAUAAAAACCUUUGAUUAAGAAGAACAUACACAUUUUAUAUCAACAUUAACAUAUAAUUAAAUCAGAGUAAGGCCAAUUUGUAAGAUACAGAGUAUGAAUUCUGUACCUCUAAUAAUUUUGAUGAUGUAUCAGUUUUAUUUUAUUUUACUUCUUUGCUUCUUAAGUAAAACUGCACAUUUUAGAAAAAAAGCUCUUCAAUUUUUAUGAUUUAUUGAACAGCUGUUGAAUGAAUAUCGUGUUUCACGUUCAGUUUAUCCUAAAUCCUGUGUAAGUAGACAGCAGUUGUAUUGUACUAAGAGGCUAUCACCAUCAGAGCAGAACAGCCCACUCCCCUCCUGCCCCUGUUCACCCCCCGCUGUAGCAGCAGUUGUUGGCACCGUGGAUAAGCAUGAUGUCCGGCUGUAGCUGUAACAGGUGCCUACAUGUUGCCUGCUGGCACCGUGCCGCCGCGCCACAGCAGCCAUCUUGGCAGCAUGUUCAGCCAUCACGCCAGAGCUCGCCUGCUGUAAUCUGCCUAAUCUCAACCUGCGCUCAGCUGCCAGUCAGUUUCGGGCCGGCAGACACACUGAGGACGACUGUGUGUCACCACAGCACCACUGUUUGUGAGGAAAAGUUCAGAUUUUGAGGGGGGGGGUCAUUUUUAGGUUAGUUUUUCUUAAAGCCAUCCUCACACACACACACACACACACACACACACACACACACACACACACACACACACACACACACACACAGUUCCCCUCUAAUGUCAAACCCAUCAGCCUCACAGACCCUUUCCUCUCCUCUUUUUCCUCACAUACUGCCACCCGCUUCACCCCCCUCCUCACGCCACUGCCCCUCAAGCCUACUGUCACCCCUUGCACCCAGCUCCCCCUCCCACCUCCCGCACACACAUACACACACACAUACACACACACACAUGCCCUCCACCCUUUUUCCAUUUCAGAUGCAAAGCUGGGGCCGAGGCGAGCCGUGCAUAUAGUCACAGCGGCAAUCUCAUCUAUGUCCAAUCUGUCAUGCCACUGCCUUUCAUUAUUCUCCUGCGUGGGGGGAGAGAUAACGCCAAGGCAUAUUUUAUGGACAGUAGAGAGAGUGGGAGAGAGGGAAAGAGAGAAAGAGAGAGAGAGAGAGAAUGAUGGGGGAAAAAGGGUGGGAGAAAGAUGCCAAUAUGGUGUGGUAAUGGCUGCAAAGAUAUGAAGGGUCCCGCUCUGGUCAGGGGAGAAGUGUCAGUCUUCUUCAUUGGUAUCUAGGUCAAGGCGGCAGAGGAGAGGAGGGGUGGGAAGGGGAAAAAAAGGCAAAUGAAGGGAUGAAAUUAUUCAAAUGGAGGUUUGGUUGGAGGAGAGUGUGCUGGUCAGUGCCACGUCGUCUCCAUUAAAAAUGGACAGCCUGAGGGCCUGAGGGGAGGAGUGUAAAUAGGCAGUAGCCAUCCUUCAUGGCCACUCUACGGCCCCAUAAAAUCAGGGCUCGUAUGCAUGCAUGCAUGCAUGCAUGCUGUUGUUGUUGAAUAUGGAGGAGUGAGGGAAUGCGAAGGGCUAGCAGAUGAGGGGGGUGGGGGGUGGAUGGAGAGACGGGUGAAUGCACCGGGGUCAGGUAUUCUCUUCUGUCACCUCUGUUGCUGGGCUGAGUGGCUGACUGGUUGUCUCUCUGCUCAGCGCGCUGGAAUGAUUGGGUCCUGGCCUGCAGAGAAUGGGCUGGCCAGUUUUACAUAUAUACAUAUAUCAUAGCCAUUGUCAUGCUGCGUGCAUGUGUGUGUGUUUCAUGUGCAUUGUGUGUUUGAAUAUGCAAAUAAGAUCCAGCAAUGCCUUUGGUUUUUUUUUAACGUGUUGGUGUCGGUUGUGUGCGUGCGUGUCGCUGCAAUUGUGGAACAUCCAGAUGUCAGCGCAGCCUCACUCGCUGUCUGUCAUUGAGACAGCGGGGGAGGGGUUAAGGUGACCUGUUUUAAAUAUAGACAGUGUCACGACAACAUGCCCGACUCGACUUAUAAAACUCAUUUGCAUAACGUUUCUCCCUUAUCCCUCCCUUUCUCCCUCGUUUUUUUUCCCCUCCGUCUUCCUCCUGGGAGACAGGCAGUGCACACACGUCGUGUUGUGCCUUUGUCUCAGGCGUUCAAAUGCGAAAAAGAUGUCAUGUCAAGGCUUUCUUCCACACAAAAAGACACAACGGUAUACCUGUGUGGCACAAUGGAGAACGGGACAAAAUACAAACACAGAGCAUGAAGACGGUGGAGUGCGGCGCUAAAAGACAAACCAGCUUUCCUGUGACAUUAUGUUAAAUGAUAAAGACUUGUCAGUACAGUAUGUCCCCACUAAAUAACACCCAGACAUGACUGUAAGAUAACUGACAAGACUGUAAGUGAAAUGACACCAAGAUUCACACGUCUUUACACCUCCCUCUGCAUAUUUUACUCUUUCUUUCCCCGUCACUGGAGGUGUUAUUGCUCUGCUGCUAAACAAGCUUUGAAAAGUAUUUAGAAAAAGCUUGAGUGAUGACACUGACGGGGCAUUUUUGCACAGACCGAACGGACCUUGGACUUUGAUUUCUGCUUAACUUUUGUUGCACACCUUGUCCUUCUUGAACAUUUGUGCGCGCAAGCCUUGUCAGUGUGCCCUUCAUUUUGAAUGCACACUUCACUCUGGAAAACUAAUUAAUUAUUCCCCUCUUCACCCUCCUUUAUUCCUCCAUUUGUUUUUUUUACCUCUGUGAAGAAUACACGCCACAUUCCUUCAAUACAUCCCUUUCUCUCAGACUCAGCGUCUAUUCAUUAGGAAUUCAAAUUAAUCAGUAUUUACUGUAGCACUCGCCAGCUCUGCUCUCAAGUGCAAUUUCUAUCAACAAGGUUGAGUGGGCUUUUGUUUCUCAUAGCCAAUUGGAAAGAAGCUCUCCUCCUCUUUGUCCCUCUCCCAUUUUUUUUAGAUGUUCAAUUGAACGCAUCAACUAGUUUGGCACAUGAGAUGGGAUUGACAUUCCCCUAUAAUGCGAUGCUACAAGGACUUUUCAUUUGACAUUCGAUGAACUCUGAAAUUAAGGCGCUGCAACAGUUUGGAAAAUGAAUCCAAGCUAAUUGUGUUUCUUUUUUUCAGGUAUCUCUGGUGCAUGGUCACAACAAAAAAAAAAUCCCACAUCACUCACACAGAGAGGCCUCGAAAGUUGUUCCAGCUUAAUUUGCGCGAGUUUAUACUUUGAAUGAUUUAAACGAUGUUUCCACUUCAUUAGAGGCUCAGUCUUAUUAGCUCUAUAAUUAGUAUGCAGAGUAAGAUUUGAACAAGAGGGUUAGAUGAUUACCAGUGACUUAAAAGUUAUUUUUAACAGUCUCACCCACUUUCUGAAUCUCUGCGCUGUAGCAAGAAUGACUUUCAGUCAAGUGAUUAACCUGUCUGUAAUAAAAAAAAAGGGAAACACCCCUUUAAAAGUUACAAUACAGUUCACAACUUUUAUUGUGGAUGUGAGCAUCGAUAUUUUGGGAACAAGAACUUCACAACAACAAAAUACAAUCCCCAUGACUCAUUUUCUUGAAAGUAAAAAAGUCAUCCAGCUUUCUAAUCUGAUAUUUUUAUGAUCUCAUAACUUUAAUGGGUCUGAGCUGAAGGUACAUGCUUUUUUUUUAUCAUCAACCCUGAUUAAGGUAUGUGCAUGAACCAGAAGUCCCCCAAAUGUCCAGAAGUCAACCAGAACC